AAACAAAAAGCAAAAAAAAAACAAAACAAAACAAAAACCCCACAAAUAUGGGAAUGACAUGGAUGCAUAGGAUUGAAGCAAUUGAACACUAUGAGUAUGCUCUGCUGAUGACAGUUUACAAAACCUGUAAUCUCAGAGGUGGCCUUAUCAGCUGCUUACAGAGAGAGCAAAUGAUUACCAGCUGCCUUCCCUCCCUGAUGUAUUCAGUGCCUUCUGCACUGCGGUUCUCCGUCUCUGGUGCUCCUAAACACUUCUCAGCUGUUGAUGAUUGAGGAAGCUGAUUGAGUACUGCCAGCUGGAUUGCCAGUUUUGCAGUGUUUCUUCACUUAGGCAGUCAGAUGACUGCUCUCUCGUGCCUGGAAAAAGCUAGCAGUUGAGAACCAACUAAAUAUACUGCAUGCACAAGCUUUGCUGUGUGUAGGGGCUUAUACCUCACAGCCUGUUCUGAAACCCUUCUCUGUAGUCCAGCACCUGCUCUUUCCUUUUGUGCUCAGCUCCAAGCAGGUCUGCCUGCAGUUCAGGAAUUCCAGGAUGAGAUUAUUAAAAAUGGAUGUUCAGUGCAGUUCCAGUGAUUGUCCAGCAAUAUGUGAAGGAGUCUCAGGUGGCAGUCAGCUUUCACAGUUGGAAGAGAAGCAAUGAUCCCAAGCAGAACCCCUUUCUCACUGCAACACUUGUCCGUUACCUCAUUUUAGCAGUGUGCAGCAGCAGCAGCUCUGCUCCUCCCCUCCGUGACGUGGCUGCUUGCCUUUUCCUGGCCCCUGCUGUGAGAUUGCUGACCUCCAGAACUCAUUUGCAGUGUGUCAGCCAGGCGCGAGAGGCUGGGACUGCAGUCGUCUUGGCAGGAGGAUGCGUAGUGGGUAGCUGUGAAUCGUGCAGUGGGGCUGGAGGCGUGGGCUGCCGACAGGCUUCUGAUUCUUCUCUGAAAUCACUGGAUCUCCUGACAUCCUCUCAGACAGGAAGGAGAGGGGAGUUGGAGUGUGGGCCUGCUCCCAGGCACAGAGUUCUGCUGCCUGGGAGCUUGGUCCUUGCUCUGGCUGCUUGGCAUCACGGGUGGAACUGAGGAACAAAUCCGCCUCUACUAGCUGUGCUGUGUGUGUUUAUUAUUGCAGUGUCUGGGAAGCAUGCUUCUGCAUGAAGACCUCUGUUGUGACCUGUGUAAAAGUGGUAUCUACAAUGUCCUUCCUUCCUCUCCUCACCCCCCUCCCAGCACAACUUACACACAAAGUGUAAAGCCAGAUAAUGGGAAGGCCCAAGCAGUCGGAAGGGAAAGGAGAAGUAGAGCAAGGAGAUAGAGAGUUCAUUUGGAUCAGCACUCCUGUCUGUGUGUUGAGACAGAAAGGACUGUCUGUCCUUGAAGGACAGCAAAAUGCUUUUGUAUUUGUUUAAUGGGAGCUUCAGUCAAAUGUGGUUUUUUGCAAGAGAUGGCUUGCUGAGAGCAGUGAUGAUGAGCAGGCUGAGUGGACCUGGCUGAUCUUUCUAUAUUGAUGGGCACAUAGGCAGAGUGGUAUUGAUAAUGGGCUGACAGCAGAAGGAAGCAAAGGAGGAAAAAUGAGAAAGCUGUCCUCAUGGUUGCUUUCUAGGUAGAUUGGAGCAGGAGAACAUUGUGCUUGUUAACUUCUGAGAAAAGGAUGGUGCAACACUUGACAUGAUGAGAACAUGGACAGGAUUUUUGGCUGACUAUCUGGAGGAGGAAAUGUCUUAGACGAAGAAUGGUUGAGAUUUAGAUGUGGCUUGAGCCUGAAGACUUAAAGUCUCAGCCCUUGUUUGUUGGUAGACACAUGGCUUAACUUCAAGUAGGGAGAAAGGCAAACAAGAGGAACUGCAAGAUUUAUUGAAGAUGUAAAUAUAGUAAUACUUGUUCUCUUCUUGGUAGCACUUUAUGACAGACAUCCGAGCCUCAUUAUUCAUUUUGCAAUACCCCUUUUGUUAUUUUUGAGCCCAAAUUAGCCAUUUAGUGAGCUACUUUGUGAGGGCUACUUCCCUUUCCCUUCCCUUUCCCUUCCCUUUCCCUUCCCUUUCCCUUCCCUUUCCCUUCCCUUUCCCUUCCCUUUCCCACUACU
rnacentral:lncRNA from 1 species